GAAUUUUGGACAAUGGGCGAACGCCUGACUCAGCAAUGCCGCGUGCAGGAUGAAGGCCUUCGGUUUGUAAACUGCUUUUGUACGGAACGAAAAGCCUUGGGUUAAUACCCUGGAGUUAUGACGGUACCGUACGAAUAAGCACCGCCUAACUACGUGCCUGCAACCGCGGUAAUAAGUAGGGUGCAAGCGUUAAUCGGAAUUACUGGGCGUAAGCCGUGCGAAGGCGGUUUUGAAGGACAGGGGUGAAACCCCCGGGCUCAACCUGGGAACUGCCUUUGUGACUGCAAGGCUAGAGUACGGCGGAGGGGGGUGGAAUUCCGCGUGUAGCAGUGAAAUGCGUAGAUAUGCGGAGGAACACCGAUGGCGAAGGCAACCCCCUGGGCCUGUACUGACGCUCAUGCACGAAAGCGUGGGGAGCAAACA
rnacentral:rRNA from 1 species